UUGAGAGUUACAAGUGCAAGUCCUUGUUGGACUCCCAUUUCAAUUGAUGAUUGACAUCGAAGUAAAUUAAGCCUAUAAGGCAUUUUUAAAUAAAGAGUGGGAUUUGUGUUCAUUCCUUCAUCUCAUGAUUGCUUACGACUGAUCUAAUAAACGUCAUGACAACUUAUCAACGUUAUGAUCUCCGUCAUUUCACCCCCCCCAAUUCUUUGAAAGAGAGGUUGCUAGUUAAAUUGAAGGUAAGGACGUACAGGACGAGGAACAGAAAAAAAGGAAGAUGAUGAAAAAGGAAGAAAAAAAUAAAUAAAAUAAGGAUAGAAAAGAAUAAUAAUUUUGUAUUUCCUUUUCCAGAAACAGUUUACUGCUACGCUUCAAUGGUCAGGGUACUGCUCCAAAAUGGUUAACUAUAUGCUAUAAAUUCAUAAUAAAAGCCAAAAGGAUUUAGGAUAAGAAGUCUGUCAACUAAUCCGGUCUUUUCUCAGAGUAUUGGAAAGGGAGAGAAGAGGAUCGAAAAAACGUUUACUAUUAUACAUUACAAAAGAGAAAGGAUAUUAUAUUUUUGUAUGUAGAAUGAGAACAAGUUGAAAAUACUAGGAAUGCAUCACCUUGGAAUCGAGAACAUUUGAAAUUGAUAAAUU
rnacentral:lncRNA from 1 species